UACGUAGGGCGCAAGCGUUGUCCGGAAUUAUUGGGCGUAAAGAGCUCGUAGGCGGUCUGUCGCGUCUGCCGUGAAAACCCGAGGCUUAACCUCGGGCUGGCGGUGGAUACGGGCAGACUAGAGGUAGGUAGGGGAGAAUGGAAUUCCCGGUGUAGCGGUGAAAUGCGCAGAUAUCGGGAGGAACACCGGUGGCGAAGGCGGUUCUCUGGGCCUUACCUGACGCUGAGGAGCGAAAGCAUGGGGAGCGAACAGGA
rnacentral:rRNA from 1 species